rnacentral:rRNA from 1 species
UUAAGCGAACAAGCGUACACGGUGGAUGCCCUGGCAGUCAGAGGCGAUGAAGGACGUGCUAAUCUGCGAAAAGCGCCGGUAAGGUGAUAUGAACCGUUACAGCCGGCGAUGUCCGAAUGGGGAAACCCAGUGCAAUUCGUUGCACUAUCUCAGCAUGAAUACAUAGUGCUGUGAGGCGAACCGGGGGAACUGAAACAUCUAAGUACCCCGAGGAAAAGAAAUCAACCGAGAUUCCCCCAGUAGCGGCGAGCGAACGGGGAACAGCCCAGAGCCUGAAUCAGCUUGUGUGUCAGUGGAACGGUCUGGAAAGGCCGGCGAUACAGGGUGACAGCCCCGUACACGAAGGCACACAGGGGCUGGUGAGCUCGAUGAGUAGGGCGGGACACGUGAUAUCCUGUCUGAAGAUGGGGGGACCAUCCUCCAAGGCUAAAUACUCCUGACUGACCGAUAGUGAACCAGUACCGUGAGGGAAAGGCGAAAAGAACCCCGGCGAGGGGAGUGAAACAGAACCUGAAACCGUGUACGUACAAGCAGUGGGAGCCUUCGUAAGAGGGUGACUGCGUACCUUUUGUAUAAUGGGUCAGCGACUUAUAUUCUGUAGCAAGGUUAACCGUAUAGGGGAGCCGAAGGGAAACCGAGUCUUAAUUGGGCGUUAAGUUGCAGGGUAUAGACCCGAAACCCGGUGAUCUAGCCAUGGGCAGGUUGAAGGUUGGGUAACACUAACUGGAGGACCGAACCGACUAAUGUUGAAAAAUUAGCGGAUGACCUGUGGCUGGGGGUGAAAGGCCAAUCAAACCGGGAGAUAGCUGGUUCUCCCCGAAAGCUAUUUAGGUAGCGCCUCGUGAACUCAUCUUCGGGGGUAGAGCACUGUUUCGGCUAGGGGGCCAUCCCGGCUUACCAACCCGAUGCAAACUACGAAUACCGAAGAAUGUUAUCACGGGAGACACACGGCGGGUGCUAACGUCCGUCGUGAAGAGGGAAACAACCCAGACCGCCAGCUAAGGUCCCAAAGUCAUGGUUAAGUGGGAAACGAUGUGGGAAGGCACAGACAGCCAGGAUGUUGGCUUAGAAGCAGCCAUCAUUUAAAGAAAGCGUAAUAGCUCACUGGUCGAGUCGGCCUGCGCGGAAGAUGUAACGGGGCUAAACCAUGCACCGAAGCUGCGGCAGCGACACUAUGUGUUGUUGGGUAGGGGAGCGUUCUGUAAGCCUGUGAAGGUGUGCUGUGAGGCAUGCUGGAGGUAUCAGAAGUGCGAAUGCUGACAUAAGUAACGAUAAAGCGGGUGAAAAGCCCGCUCGCCGGAAGACCAAGGGUUCCUGUCCAACGUUAAUCGGGGCAGGGUGAGUCGACCCCUAAGGCGAGGCCGAAAGGCGUAGUCGAUGGGAAACAGGUUAAUAUUCCUGUACUUGGUGUUACUGCGAAGGGGGGACGGAGAAGGCUAUGUUGGCCGGGCGACGGUUGUCCCGGUUUAAGCGUGUAGGUGUGUGUUCCAGGUAAAUCCGGUUCACUUUAACACUGAGGCGUGAUGACGAGGCACUACGGUGCUGAAGUAACAAAUGCCCUGCUUCCAGGAAAAGCCUCUAAGCAUCAGGUAACAUCAAAUCGUACCCCAAACCGACACAGGUGGUCAGGUAGAGAAUACCAAGGCGCUUGAGAGAACUCGGGUGAAGGAACUAGGCAAAAUGGUGCCGUAACUUCGGGAGAAGGCACGCUGACAUGUAGGUGAAGCCCCUGCGGGUGGAGCUGAAGUCAGUCGAAGAUACCAGCUGGCUGCAACUGUUUAUUAAAAACACAGCACUGUGCAAACACGAAAGUGGACGUAUACGGUGUGACGCCUGCCCGGUGCCGGAAGGUUAAUUGAUGGGGUUAUCGCAAGAGAAGCUCCUGAUCGAAGCCCCGGUAAACGGCGGCCGUAACUAUAACGGUCCUAAGGUAGCGAAAUUCCUUGUCGGGUAAGUUCCGACCUGCACGAAUGGCGUAAUGAUGGCCAGGCUGUCUCCACCCGAGACUCAGUGAAAUUGAACUCGCUGUGAAGAUGCAGUGUACCCGCGGCAAGACGGAAAGACCCCGUGAACCUUUACUACAGCUUGACACUGAACAUUGAGCCUUGAUGUGUAGGAUAGGUGGGAGGCUUUGAAGCGUGGACGCCAGUCUGCGUGGAGCCAACCUUGAAAUACCACCCUUUAAUGUUUGAUGUUCUAACCUGGCGCCAUAAUCUGGCGUGGGGACAGUGUCUGGUGGGUAGUUUGACUGGGGCGGUCUCCUCCCAAAGUGUAACGGAGGAGCACGAAGGUCAGCUAAUCCUGGUCGGACAUCAGGAGGUUAGUGCAAUGGCAUAAGCUGGCUUGACUGCGAGAGUGACGGCUCGAGCAGGUGCGAAAGCAGGUCAUAGUGAUCCGGUGGUUCUGUAUGGAAGGGCCAUCGCUCAACGGAUAAAAGGUACUCCGGGGAUAACAGGCUGAUACCGCCCAAGAGUUCAUAUCGACGGCGGUGUUUGGCACCUCGAUGUCGGCUCAUCACAUCCUGGGGCUGAAGUAGGUCCCAAGGGUAUGGCUGUUCGCCAUUUAAAGUGGUACGCGAGCUGGGUUUAGAACGUCGUGAGACAGUUCGGUCCCUAUCUGCCGUGGGCGCUGGAGAAUUGAGGGGGGCUGCUCCCAGUACGAGAGGACCGGAGUGGACGCAUCACUGGUGUUCGGGUUGUCAUGCCAAUGGCACUGCCCGGUAGCUAAAUGCGGAAGAGAUAAGUGCUGAAAGCAUCUAAGCACGAAACUUGCCCCGAGAUGAGUUCUCCCUGACUCCUUGAGAGUCCUGAAGGAACGUUGAAGACGACGACGUUGAUAGGCCGGGUGUGUAAGCGCAGCGAUGCGUUGAGCUAACCGGUACUAAUGAACCGUGAGGCUUAACCUU